AAAGACUCAAAUCACUUUUCUUGCUAAUGUUUUUACAGAUAAAGUGUUCAUUAUAAUGUACAACAGGUGAUGCCAUAGUGUCCAGAUCUAACAGUAAAUCUCCCAGCUCUGUGCUUAAUUUGUUGUUACAUGAACUUGGAUGUCACCUGUCUGGAUAACGGACUGUAUACUUCCUGUGUUGCAGAACAGCAGCCAUAAGAACAAGCAGACCAGGAAGAGUGAGCCUCUUCAGUUACAAUGUCCCAAGACUAGGAUUCCAAAAUCAUGCUUUGGAUCUGCAAGCUCAGUGACAGUCUCCUGAAUUCAAAGGCAAAUGAGAAGGAUGCAACUCACUGUAUUGGUUUUCAUUGUGAACUCCAUUUAUCCUUCCGUCUGGGAGGAUUUGAAGAUGAAACCCGAUGCCCACGUUGCAGUAAAGCCUCCGCUGCCUCUUGAUUCCUAGCAAGUAGUCAUUCUCCCACUUCAUAUCUGACUUUUCCCCUGACAUCUCAGAAAUGGAUCUGGACAACAGAGAUUGCCAUCCUCUUUCCAGCAAUGUUCCAUUACUUCUGCUUACAGCUGGGUGUGUUGAAGCAAUCCCAACUAGAAAACCCAGGAGAAUAAAAGCAGUCAAUGUCUGGUGAAUGGUGACUUCACAAGACAUAGUGAUGAGAAGUCUUUGUGCAGUGGUCAUCCAGUCAACCUCCAGGGCAUGUGGUCAGAAUUAAUGGCCCUAAAAAUACUGCCCUUCUUAUUUUUCUCCCUUCAGCAUGGUGGCAUAGGCUUAUUUUUGGAAAGCAAAUGGAGAAUGCUGACAUGAAACUAAAGCCUAAGAGCAGUCGGGUUGGAAGCAGAGACAGGCCAACAGCACUCAGUUUGGUGGGGACUAUGCUUUGGAGAUCUUGCUCUCCUGUGGGCGGCCUCAGUAUUGUUUGCUUGACCAAUCUUUAUAGUGCUGACGCUCCCCACAUCAUGACUGACAUCAACAGGAUACCGGAGCAAAUCCAAGGCACCAAACACUAUACUGGUCCAUGCACUAGCAGCUUGUCUGUACCUCUGAAAGGACUGUUCCUGGCCCAUUAAUGCAGAGGUACAAAUACUUGCCCACACUGGCGAAUAUUACCCAGCCUUUCCUCAAAAGCACCUAAGACUGGUUGUUGAUUGCAUUGUUUCAUACCUGUUCUGAAAGCCAAGAAACUGCUAAGACAAGUCCAUACUGCAUUUGUCACUGAAAAAAAAAAAUCACAGUGAAGAAAGAACCCAGAGGAAGAUUUGCUUGCUAAACUUAUCUCAUCAUAACCCUUGAGCUGCACUUGAUUUGUUAGAGUAACGAGGCAGAACUUACUAGACCUACUUCACAUCUUAUAUUGACUAGCUUCAAUUGUUGUUAUCUUUUAAAGCCUUCAUGGUGAAUGCCGUUUUUUAAAAAUAUUAUUAUUUGUAGGAUAUUGCAACAGAUCUGUGAACUGAAAUAAUAAACUGUGAAUCACUUAUAUUUUCCUAGAAUAUGGGCUGAUCUUCAGGGAUUAAUCUUAAAAAGAGCUUUACGCAUUUCUCAUGGGUUCCUCUAUAGCCUGAAGUCACCACAGCAGCAUGGAUUGUGCAAAGAAAGAAGUCAGUGCAUUCCAAACUGGAAAUGAGAUGCUGCAAUUUUGCUGUCUGUGUUUAGCUGCUACUUAUUUACAGAAAUAUUUGGGAAUUAAAAGUUAAUUGGGAACAUGGAAGAUAUGCUUCCAGGUGUUCAUAAAUUAACCUCUAUUUCAAGAACUAAAAGCACACAGGCAAAUCAAAUGGCUCUGUCUGAGCUCAUUCAGAUUAUCGGUUAGGUUGUCUUCAUUAGACCCACUCUCAGUGUACUUAUGUGCUGAGUUUCUGAUGUGGAUCUUGACAAACAUUGUUACUGCACAGUUUCCCAUUAAGUACAGGAGCACACCAAUUUAAAUACUUGCUCAACUUGUCCAAGAUCGAGGCUCAAUUCAUUUUUCUCCCUGUGGAGAUGCUCUUCUACAGCUUUAUUCACUUAAGAAUAUUGAUGAAGGUAGCCCUUGGUGGUAGACUCCAAGCAUAGCAAAUUUUACAUGGAUACUUAGUUUAUCACUGUCUUGUUUUUUCUGACUGACAGGAAUGAUCUUUGAACUCAGGUCCUCAUGAUGUAUGCUUGCUUUGUUCCACCUACUUCUGAACUUUGUGGCAGCGACAGCUCCCAACAGUGAGCCUUCCGGAAUUACAACAGGGUAAAAGCAUUCUGGUGAGAACUGUAUCUAUAAAUCUGUUCUUUCU